rnacentral:rRNA from 1 species
GAGUUUGAUCGUGGCUCAGAUUGAACGCUGGCGGCAUGCCUUACACAUGCAAGUCGAACGGCAGCAUGAUCUAGCUUGCUAGAUUGAUGGCGAGUGGCGAACGGGUGAGUAAUACAUCGGAACGUGCCCUGUAGUGGGGGAUAACUAGUCGAAAGAUUAGCUAAUACCGCAUACGACCUGAGGGUGAAAGUGGGGGACCGCAAGGCCUCAUGCUAUAGGAGCGGCCGAUGUCUGAUUAGCUAGUUGGUGGGGUAAAGGCCCACCAAGGCGACGAUCAGUAGCUGGUCUGAGAGGACGAUCAGCCACACUGGGACUGAGACACGGCCCAGACUCCUACGGGAGGCAGCAGUGGGAAUUUUGGACAAUGGGCGAAAGCCUGGUCCAGCAAUGCCGCGUGUGUG